GACGAACGCUGGCGGCGUGCUUAACACAUGCAAGUCGAACGGAAAGGCCCUGCUUUUGUGGGGUGCUCGAGUGGCGAACGGGUGAGUAACACGUGAGUAACCUGCCCUUGACUUUGGGAUAACUUCAGGAAACUGGGGCUAAUACCGGAUAGGAGCUCCUGCUGCAUGGUGGGGGUUGGAAAGUUUCGGCGGUUGGGGAUGGACGCGCGGCUUAUCAGCUUGUUGGUGGGGUAGUGGCUUACCAAGGCUUUGACGGGUAGCCGGCCUGAGAGGGUGACCGGCCACAUUGGGACUACGAUACGGCCCAGACUCCUACGGGAGGCAGCAGUGGGGAAUAUUGCCCAAUGGGCGGAAGCCUGAUGCAGCAACGCCGCGUGCGGGAUGACGGCCUUCGGGUUGUAAACCGCUUUCGCCUGUGACGAAGCGUUAGUGACGGUAAUGGGUAAAGAAGCACCGGCUAACUACGUG
rnacentral:rRNA from 1 species